GGUGAUGCCGGCGGCGGCGUGCAACUCCUUCAUUGGCCAUUUUGUUAGCCGUUGUUUCCGUGUGAGGUAUGUUCAUUGCUGAUUAGUGGUCCAAUAAGGGAGUUAGGCAUCAAUCGUGUCACUUUUUUGACAUGAGAAUUCUCUGUUACACAGAGGCAUUUUCCUUCAUAAUAGAUUCACAAGCGUGGACCCAACCCUAUACCUUCCCCAUAUUAACAUCCACAAAAGGUGGACAUGUCUAAAUCAACCAAGAACAAGACCUUUUGCUCUAAAGCAAAUAAGCGAUAGCCGGGCAUCCAUGCACACCGACUCAAUUCACAAAAUCAUGCUCAUGAUCAUGCUUCUACAACACCACCACGACCCUCAUUGAUAGCACCACCUCCAUCAUAAAGAAAAUCGAAGUUAAAUUCCCUGGAAUCAUCUUGCAAGGAAUCCAGCACACAAAAACCUCGCUUUAGGUGGCCGGUGCCAAACCAACUAACCUGCGAAUAUUAGGCUAUUAAAACUGCACUUGACCAAUGAAUUUAGGCCCACACCCCUGUUUCCAUCACGUCACAACUACAGAGUUUACAGUGCUAUCGUUUUGUGGAUCGAGACGAAUCCAAACUAGUGACCCAGGAUAUGGUCGGCACCUGCCAAACAACAGCCAAUGGAGUUCCAAUGUCUUGCUCAAGCCCAUACCUCGCUUUUCACUCUCUCUC
rnacentral:lncRNA from 1 species